rnacentral:rRNA from 1 species
GAUGAACGCUGGCGGCGUGCCUAACACAUGCAAGUCGAACGAAGCACUUUAUUAGAUUUCUUCGGAAUGAAGAUGAAGUGACUGAGUGGCGGACGGGUGAGUAACGCGUGGGUAACCUGCCUCAUACAGGGGGAUAACAGCUGGAAACGGCUGUUAAUACCGCAUAAGCGCACAGCAUCGCAUGAUGCAGUGCGAAAAACUCCGGUGGUAUGAGAUGGACCCGCGUCUGAUUAGUUAGUUGGCAGGGUAAAGGCCUACCAAGACUGCGAUCAGUAGCCGACCUGAGAGGGUGACCGGCCACAUUGGGACUGAGACACGGCCCAAACUCCUACGGGAGGCAG